rnacentral:rRNA from 1 species
UACGUAGGGGGCGAGCGUUGUCCGGAAUUAUUGGGCGUAAAGAGCUCGUAGGCGGUUUGUCGCGUCGACUGUGAAAACCUACAGCUUAACUGUGGGCUUGCAGUCGAUACGGGCAGGCUAGAGUUCGGUAGGGGAGACUGGAAUUCCUGGUGUAGCGGUGAAAUGCGCAGAUAUCAGGAGGAACACCGGUGGCGAAGGCGGGUCUCUGGGCCGAUACUGACGCUGAGGAGCGAAAGCGUGGGGAGCGAACAGG